rnacentral:misc_RNA from 1 species
GAAAUGCGAUAAGUAAUGUGAAUUGCAGAAUUCAGUGAAUCAUCGAAUCUUUGAACGCACAUUGCGCCCUUUGGUAUUCCGAAGGGCACACCUGUUCGAGCGUCAUUACACCAAUCAAGUCUUACUUGGUAUUGGGCUCUUUUGUCCCUAACUUUUAGGGACAGGCCUUAAAGACAUUGGCGGCAUAGUCCGGCUUCGAGCGUAGCAAAAACAUCGCUUUUGGAGUUUUCUGGAUUAUUGUUCCUUGUCCAUUAAAAUAGGGUAGAAAUACCCGUUUUUUCUUAAGGUUGACCUCGGAUCAGGUGGGGAUACCCGCUGAACUUAAGC